rnacentral:rRNA from 1 species
GACGAACGCUGGCGGCGUGCUUAACACAUGCAAGUCGAACGGAAAGGCCCUGCUUGCCGGGUACUCGAGUGGCGAACGGGUGAGUAACACGUGGGUGAUCUGCCCUGCACUUCGGGAUAAGCCUGGGAAACUGGGUCUAAUACCGGAUAGGAGCCAUUUUUAGUGUGAUGGUUGGAAAGUUUUUUCGGUGUAGGAUGAGCUCGCGGCCUAUCAGCUUGUUGGUGGGGUAAUGGCCUACCAAGGCGGCGACGGGUAGCCGGCCUGAGAGGGUGGACGGCCACAUUGGGACUGAGAUACGGCCCAGACGCCUACGGGAGGCAGCAGUGGGGAAUAUUGCACAAUGGGCGCAAGCCUGAUGCAGCGACGCCGCGUGGGGGAGGACGGCCUUCGGGUUGUAAACUCCUUUCGCUAGGGACGAAGCUUUUUGUGACGGUACCUAGAGAAGAAGCACCGGCUAACUACGUG